rnacentral:lncRNA from 13 species
UUUAAGGUAGAAAUCAUUUUAAGCUCACAAGUUUACCUGGCAAUUGGAGACAGAAUUCCUUCCUCUAAACGCCACUAUUAUGAGUCUAUCCCUUGCUGAUUUCCCCUUACCCCAUUUAUUAUUAUAGCAAAGGUUGCACACUUAUGGCCUUAUGGCCAGAUCAUGCCCACAUAUUUUGUUCAAGCUAUCUAGUAUUGGCAUACACAAAAAUUUUAAUUUAUUAAAUCUUAGAAAAGAACCCUCAUCUUUUUAGGAUAUGUAUUACUAGUCUGUCUCUCCUACUUGCCUUCUACAUCCCCAUUAUCAUUCAUAAUCUUUCCACAGCAUCAUUUUCUUUCUCAUGCAUUCCUUAAAAAGCUGUAUGACUAUUGAAGUAUUUACAAGUGAGAUGAUGUGAUGUCUUCAACAGGCUUCGAAAAUCAUCCAAUGUCAGGGAGAAUUACUUAAUGAGGGUAUAGAUGAAACCAAAUAGGCCAUGCAUUGAAAAUUUAUGAGGGCCCCGGGCACGAUACCUCAAACCUGUAAUCCCAGCACUUUGGGAGCCAAGGUGGGUGGAUCACCUGAGAUCAGGAGUUCCGGAUCAGCCUGACCGACAUGAUGAAACCCUGUCUCUACUAAAAAUACAAAAAUUAGCUGGGUGUGGUGGUGGGCACCUGUAGUCCCACCUACUCAAGAGGCUGAGGCAAGAGAUUGCUUGAACCCUGGAGGUGGAGUUUGCAGUGUGUCGAGAUCAAGCCAUUGCACCCCAGCCUGGACAACAAGAGUGAAACUCUGUCUCAAAGAGAAAAAAAAGGAAAAGAAAAUUGUUGAGGAUGGGCGGAACAACUAUAUUUUGUUUCUUCAUAUGCUUUUGAAGUGACCAGUUUUGCCUCUGGAUAAACCUUCUUUAUUGGUGCUGAUUUGUAUGUAUUUGCUACUUACAACCACGCAGUGGAUAAUCCCUGUCUCCUAGCUGCAGCACUGCCAGAUGCAGGAAACUCUUCUUUGGCUGAAUAGAGAGACCUCAUUUUUGUGACCUGAGAACAUGCCGUGAUCUCCAUGAUAAUUUUUACAGCU